GAAGACACGAAAUGGGAACAAUAGACGACACAAACAGGAAACUUCUGACCUUUAUUGGCUGAUCACCUUAGCAGAUGGUACUAAAUCGAGGGCGGCCAGAUAGAGGAUCAGAUAUGCCUAAGGGUUUGUUGAUCAGCCGAGAGAUGUUAAAUGUCGUUGGAUAUUCAGCGUAUAAAAAAGAAGCUAAAAGGUGUUACGAGCUUCUUAACAUGUGCACCGAUAUUUAAUCCGUCGAAGCGAAAUAUAGCUCUACCAAAAAUACUACUAAAGGGUAGCAACUACUGAGCCAACUUUCCAAAAUUAUUAAUCCUUAAUCAAGGUAUUCAAUGCAAGUUUAUAAUAAUUGCGAAAAGUGGCAAAAAUCGUGUGCUUGAUUCUAAUACUUAAUGCAGAAUGCUCUUGACCCACGGGCAAAAAUGUGACACAGAUAAGGGGAAAGGAAUGUGACCGGGAUUUAUCAAAUGGAUUAGGGGUAAACUUCACGAAACAUUCAAAAUAGGAAAGGGACAACACAAUUAACA